rnacentral:misc_RNA from 1 species
UUAAGUUCAGCGGGUAUUCCUACCUGAUCCGAGGUCAACCUUGGUAAAAUUGGGGUGUUUUACGGCGUGGCCGUGCUGGUCUCCGGUGCGAGGUGUGUUACUACGCAGGGGAUUACAGCGCGACCGCCACUGGGUUUAGGGGACGGGGGCCUUGCGGACCCCGAGCCCCAACACCAGGCCCGUCCCCCGGAAGGGAGGGC